rnacentral:rRNA from 1 species
UUGAACGCUGGCGGAAUGCUUUACACAUGCAAGUCGAACGGCAGCACGGGGGCAACCCUGGUGGCGAGUGGCGAACGGGUGAGUAAUACCUAGGAACAUGUCCAGUAGUGGGGGAUAACGCAGCGAAAGCUGUGCUAAUACCGCAUACGCCCUACGGGGGAAAGCGGGGGAUCUUCGGACCUCGCGUUAUUGGAGUGGCCUAGGCCUGAUUAGCUAGUUGGUGAGGUAAAGGCUCACCAAGGCGACGAUCAGUAGCUGGUCUGAGAGGAUGAUCAGCCACACUGGAACUGAGACACGGUCCAGACUCCUACGGGAGGCAGCAGUGGGGAAUUUUGGACAAUGGGGGAAACCCUGAUCCAGCCAUUCCGCGUGAGUGAAGAAGGCCUUCGGGUUGUAAAGCUCUUUCAGGAGGGAAGAAAUCGGGCGCGUGAAUAGCGUGCCUGGAUGACGGUACUGUCAGAAGAAGCACCGGCUAACUACGU